UACGUAGGUGGCAAGCGUUGUCCGGAUUUAUUGGGUUUAAAGGGUGCGUAGGUGGCCUGUUAAGUCAGUGCUGAAAUAUCCCGGCUUAACCGGGAGGGUGGCAUUGAUACUGAUGGGCUUGAGUGAAGUCGAGGUAGGCGGAAUUGACGGUGUAGCGGUGAAAUGCUUAGAUAUCGUCAAGAACACCGAUAGUGUAGACAGCUUACUAGACUUUAACUGACACUGAGGCACGAAAGUGUGGGGAUCAAACAGG
rnacentral:misc_RNA from 1 species